AUACGGGGGGUGCAAGCGUUAAUCGGAAUUACUGGGCGUAAAGCGCGCGUAGGCGGUUUGCUCAGUCGGAUGUGAAAGCCCAGGGCUCAACCUUGGAACUGCAUACGAUACUGGCAAACUAGAGUGUGAGAGAGGAUAGUGGAAUUUCCGGUGUAGCGGUGAAAUGCGUAGAUAUCGGAAGGAACAUCAGUGGCGAAGGCGACUGUCUGGCUCAACACUGAUGCUGAGGUGCGAAAGCGUGGGUAGCAAACAGGAUUAGAAACCCCAGUAGUCC
rnacentral:rRNA from 1 species